rnacentral:rRNA from 1 species
UACGAAGGGAGCUAGCGUUGUUCGGAAUUACUGGGCGUAAAGGGCGCGUAGGCGGACAUCUAAGUCAGGGGUGAAAUCCCAGGGCUCAACCCUGGAAUUGCCUUUGAUACUGGACGUCUCGAGUUCGGGAGAGGUGAGUGGAAUUCCGAGUGUAGAGGUGAAAUUCGUAGAUAUUCGGAGGAACACCAGAAGCGAAGGCGGCUCACUGGCCCGAUACUGACGCUGAGGCGCGAAAGCGAGGGGAGCAAACGGG